CGAGACACAACAACACAAGAACACCCCCGGAGUCAGCAGCUCAGCUCAACCAAGGAUCUGCAAAUGUUGAGCAUACACCCGUGAGAAAACAAGCUUAAGCUGCCGGUCUAAUAGUCCCAGAAAGCAAAAUCAACAGCAACUGUCGCGGCCUCUGUAUGUCAUAUAGGGGUAUACGGAUCCAUGAUAGAGCCAAGGACACAGAAGUAAACACACAAGAGCAACGGAGGAAAAUAGCACAGGCCGCAUGACCCAGAUCGAUGCAUCUGGGAGGUAAAAUUCGAAUCCCUGCAAGUGUAAUUGUUGUAGAUCUGGUAAUAAUAUCUGUACUCAGUUCU